rnacentral:rRNA from 1 species
UACGUAGGGUGCGAGCGUUAAUCGGAAUUACUGGGCGUAAAGCGUGCGCAGGCGGUUUUGUAAGCCAGAUGUGAAAUCCCCGGGCUUAACCUGGGAAUGGCAUUUGGGACUGCAAGGCUUGAGUGCGGCAGAGGAGACUGGAAUUCCUGGUGUAGCAGUGAAAUGCGUAGAUAUCUGGAGGAAUACCGGUGGCGAAGGCGGCAUCCUGGACCAUUACUGACGCUGAGGCGCGAAAGCUAGGGGAGCAAACGGG